rnacentral:lncRNA from 1 species
CCCCGCCCCGCCCCCGGCCCAGCGGCGUAUUGUUCGGCCCCGGGGGGAGCCGGCUCGGAGGUGCGCGCCGAGAGGAUCGCUAUGGAGACGCGAGGGCGCGGCCGGGACGGGGACUGGGGCCCUACUCCCCGGAGGCCUCCCCACCCAGCCUCCCGGUGGGGCGGGGCCGAGGCAACAGGGCCGGGAAAGGUGGGGCUGGGGCCCCCGGUGGCCGCUACCCGUGGGGCGGUGGCUCCGCACCUCGGGCUCGGGGCCGCGGCUCAGAGCCUGGCUCCCCACCCCGGCAGAACAGAUCCACGGAGACCGCCGCCAGGAGUGCCGCGCGGGUAGGACCCGGGGGCGGAGGACUGGGGCCGAGAGGCCGGGGAGCCCCCCCCCACCCAUUAAGGACUGCGGAGGCUGUCGAGGAGGGUUACCCAUUUUACAGCAAGACGCACGGAGGCUAAAAUGCUUCACCCCGACUAAAACUCCCUGGACUUUGAAGCCCAAUAGGCAGCUACCGGAUCUGCGUCCCACUUGGUUUAAAGCGCAACUUUUAAAUGAAAGAAGAAAACCCCGGUUGACAUAAGGGAUUUGGAGAGGACGGCGGAGGCGCGCUCAUCUCCCGCGUGCGGCCCGACCCGAGCGUUCGCGGACGCAUCGCGGAAUCCCCGAGCGUCCGGCUCCUCCCGAAGCGGGUUGCGGGGAAGGCGGGGGGCUGCGGGUCCUGGAAGCUGCCUGGGGCAAGCAAGCACCCGCAGGGAUUUAGAGCUGUGCCACAGCCCCUGCCCAGCCUCCUACGGAGGACAGCGGGGGGCGGGGGGCAGAGACCUUAGAGCUUUCAGAAAAGUGACACACACCCCCGCCUCCUGCGGGGAACCACGGGGGGCCGGGGGCAGCUUUAGGUUUGCGUGACGGGUACACCUGCCUCCGGAUGGGGCACAGGGAUAAAGGGGGUGGAGGCUUAGGACUUGGCGACCCCCCGCAUGGGCGGGGCUUUGGGACUGUGCCACCAGCGGCUGGGAAGGGCGCGCACUCCCUUGGUGGCGCUCGGGGCGCCGGAGUCCAGUGCAGCCCUUAGGCCUCCCAGUGGUCGGGGACGGUAGGUGGGGGUCGCCUCUUCUCUCCUAGAAGGGCUUCUCCUGGGGCCGGUCGGAGCGGUGGGGGUGGGAGUAAUGCGCAGUCACCCCUAGAACGGGUCUUUUUGGCAAGGGAGGGUCGGAUCCUGCAGCCAAAUCUCUGAGCUGAGCUGAGAUGAGUCCAGUCUCAACGAGGACCGUGGGCGGCUGUGGAGAACCGGAAGGGUUUCUCCCCCGGAGCGAUGUGUCUGUGUGUGUGUCACACGCAUACUCAGCCAACUUCGCUCAAAGCUGCUGAAACAGUGUCUUUGUGCUGAAGCCCAAUGUGAGCAUUUUCUUCCCAGUAGCAAGGAUUUGAACACGUUAUAUUGAUCUAAAAGGUGGAGUUGCUUUGGAACCUUUUAAUUCGAGGUUUCCACUGGAGAGUCCUGUUGGGAAAUGUGUGUGUGGAGGGAGGGGAGGAAGGAGAAAAGUCCGUCUCCUUAAUGUGAGCGGUCCAGGACCUCCCCACCCGCCAUAUACCCUUCCACUGGGAUUUUUCCGGGAAGGAUGAAAGGACAGGAGUUCUGGGGCCGGAAGGCAGGGCGGGUCCCUGAGCCCGGAGCCUCCCAGUGGAAGGCUACUGGGCGGACCUGAAGGGGACCCAGGCAGGAGGAAAAACCAGAGAACCCCAGGAGUGCCUGUUUUGCAAUAAGGCUUUAAGCAGAGUGGGUUGGGUUUAAAUAAACAAAACUCAGCUGCAGCCAGUGGGUUCAGGUGUGGGCCUGCUUUUCUGGAAUAAGGCACCUGCAGGCUGCGAGGUAACCACAGGGACUGCCCAACACCUAGGGACAGGGGAGGAUGGAUGAAUCUCACUAACAGGAUGUCCAGCAAAGACAAAAGAUCAUUCCAUUCACGCUUAGACCGACAGCAAGCCCGACUCCACCAUAACGUUUAGAGGUGUGCACAAAUAGGGGAAAGAUGAAGAAAAACAAGGAGGUGAUUAUGGGCACAUUCAGG